GGGGAUUUAGCUCAGUGGUAGAGCGCUUGCCUAGCAAGCACAAGGCCCUGGGUUCGGACCCCAGCUCA
rnacentral:tRNA from 1 species